CGGCAUGCUUAACACAUGCAAGUCGAACGGAAACGAUGGAAGCUUGCUUCCAGGCGUCGAGUGGCGAACGGGUGAGUAAUGCUUGGGAAUCUGCCUAAUAGUGGGGAACAACUCGGGGAAACUCGGGCUAAUACCGCAUAAUCUCUUCGGAGGAAAGGGGGCCUCUACAUGUAAGCUCUCGCUAAUAGAUGAGCCCAAGUCAGAUUAGCUUGUUGGUAAGGUAACGGCUUACCAAGGCUACGAUCUGUAGCUGGUCUGAGAGGAUGAUCAGCCACACUGGGACUGAGACACGGCCCAGACUCCUACGGGAGGCAGCAGUGGGGAAUAUUGCACAAUGGGCGAAAGCCUGAUGCAGCAAUGCCGCGUGUGUGAAGAAGGCUCUAGGGUUGUAAAGCACUUUCAAUAAGGAAGAAAAGCAUAAGGUUAAUAACCUUAUGUAUUGACGUAACUUAUACAAGAAGCACCGGCUAAUUCCGUGCCAGCAGCCGCGGUAAUACGGAAGGUGCAAGCGUUAAUCGGAAUUACUGGGCGUAAAGCGCGCGUAGGCUGUUAUCUAAGUCGGAUGUGAAAUCCUCGGGCUCAACCCGGGAACUGCAUCCGAAACUGAAUAACUAGAGUAUGGGAGAGGUAAGUAGAAUUUCCGGUGUAGCGGUGAAAUGCGUAGAUAUCGGAAGGAAUACCAGUGGCGAAGGCGGCUUACUGGACCAAUACUGACGCUGAGGUGCGAAAGCGUGGGGAGCGAACAGGAUUAGAUACCCUGGUAGUCCACGCCGUAAACGAUGAGAACUAGAUGUUGGGAGGGUUAGCCUCUCAGUGUCGCAGCUAACGCAUUAAGUUCUCCGCCU
rnacentral:rRNA from 1 species